rnacentral:rRNA from 1 species
AUUGAACGCUGGCGGCAGGCCUAACACAUGCAAGUCGAACGAGUGGCGGACGGGUGAGUAAUGUCUGGGAAACUGUCCGAUGGAGGGGGAUAAAUACUGGAAAAGGUAGCUAAUACCGCAUACCAUCUGAUGUGCCCAGAUGGGAUUAGCUUGUAGGUGAGGGAAAGGCUCACCUCGGCGACGAUCCCUAGCUGGUCUGAGAGGAUGACCAGCCACACUGGAACUGAGACACGGUCCAGACUCCGACGGGAGGCAGCAGUGGGGAAUAUUGCACAAUGGGCGCAAGCCUGAUGCAGCCAUGCAGAGUGUAUGAAGAAGGCCUUCGGGUUGUAAAGUACUUUCAGCGGGGAGGCGUUACCCGCAGAAGAAGCACCGGCUAACUCCGUGCCAGCAGCCGCGGUAAUAC